rnacentral:lncRNA from 1 species
UGUAGAAGCUUGGUCGAAGAUCGGUUGUCAUGGGGGCUCGAAGUAGCGACCCGAUCGGUGGAUCCUAUCCCAUCGUAGAAGCUCAUCCGAGAUUCGACUACGAAGAAGCUCAGCUGAAGUCUACCUGUAAUAGAAGUUCGAAAGAAAUUUGUUUACAGUAGAGGCUCAAAUAGAAUUUGCUUACAGUAGAUAUCCAGGAUAGACCGCCCGCUGUAGGAGUUCGGAGUAGACUG